rnacentral:rRNA from 1 species
AUGAAGAAUAAUCCAUUUUCAUAUAGGCACUUCACAAUGUACAUGCACGCGAUGGAAUUGGUGAGAUUAGGGGACACCAGUGUUGAUGCAUACAACCGUCUGAUGGAAUUGUUCAAAUCUAAUUUGACAGUAAUGCUACCGUUUGCGGAAGUUAGGGAUGGUCUUGGGCUAGAGGACAAGAUUGCAGACAAGGGCCUUGCAGUUGAUCAGACUAACCAUAAUGCAAUAGUUGGUGGACAACCUACUAACGCAGCGGAGAUCAAUGCAGAUCUUGCGGACAAUGACUCUAUGUCGAGGACAAGCAACCGUUUGGAUGGGCUUCUGGCACCAGCAAAAAGAAAAUAG